rnacentral:piRNA from 1 species
UAAAAUGACGAAGCUUCUGAAAUGGGA